rnacentral:tRNA from 1 species
AGUAGAAUGGCUGAGGUUAAAAGGUAAAGGAUUGUAAAUCUUUUCAGGAGUAUAAACUCUUCUACUA